rnacentral:rRNA from 1 species
UACGAAGGGGGCUAGCGUUGUUCGGAAUUACUGGGCGUAAAGCGCGUGUAGGCGGUUGUGAUAGUCAGGCGUGAAAGCCUUGAGCUCAACUCAAGAAAUGCGCUUGAUACUGGGCAGCUAGAGGACCGGAGAGGAUAGUGGAAUUCCCAGUGUAGUGGUGAAAUACGUAGAGAUUGGGAAGAACACCAGUGGCGAAGGCGGCUAUCUGGACGGUUUCUGACACUAAGACUCGAAAGCGUGGGGAGCAAACAGG